rnacentral:rRNA from 1 species
GAUGAACGCUGGCGGCGUGCCUAAUACAUGCAAGUAGAACGCUGAAGCUUGGUGCUUGCACCGAGCGGAUGAGUUGCGAACGGGUGAGUAACGCGUAGGUAACCUGCCUCUUAGCGGGGGAUAACUAUUGGAAACGAUAGCUAAUACCGCAUAAAAGUCGAUAUCGCAUGAUAUUGAUUUGAAAGGUGCAAAUGCAUCACUAAGAGAUGGAUCUGCGUUGUAUUAGCUAGUUGGUGAGGUAACGGCUCACCAAGGUGACGAUACAUAGCCGACCUGAGAGGGUGAUCGGCCACCCUGGGACGGAGACACGGCCCAGACUCCUACGGGAGGCAGCAGUAGGGAAUCUUCGGCAAUGGGGGCAACCCUGACCGAGCCAAGCCGCGUGAGUGAAGAAGGUUUUCGGAUCGUAAAGCUCGGUUGUAAGAGAAGAACGAGUGUGAGAGUGGAAAGUUCACACUGUGACGGUAACUGACCAGAAAGGGACGGCUAACUACGUG